rnacentral:rRNA from 1 species
CCUACGGGUGGCAGCAGUGAGGAAUAUUGGUCAAUGGGCGCGAGCCUGAACCAGCCAAGUAGCGUGAAGGAUGACUGCCCUACGGGUUGUAAACUUCUUUUAUAAAGGAAUAAAGUGAGGCACGUGUGCCUUUUUGUAUGUACUUUAUGAAUAAGGAUCGGCUAACUCCGUGCCAGCAGCCGCGGUAAUACGGAGGAUCCGAGCGUUAUCCGGAUUUAUUGGGUGUAAAGGGAGCGUAGAUGGGUUGUUAAGUCAGUUGUGAAGGUUUGCGGCUAAACCGUAAAAUUGCAAUUGAUACUGGCAGUUGUGAGUACAGUUGAGGUAGGCGGAAUUCGUGGUGGAGCGGUGAAAGGCUGAGAGAUCAGGAAGAACUCCGUGUGAGAAGGAAGCUUAAUAAACUGCCACUGACAUUGAUGCGCGAAAGUGUGGGUAUAAAACAGGAUUAGAUACCCGAGUAGUC